rnacentral:rRNA from 1 species
CCUACGGGGGGCAGCAGUGGGGAAUAUUGCGCAAUGGGCGAAAGCCUGACGCAGCGACGCCGCGUGAGGGAUGAAGGUCUUCGGAUCGUAAACCUCUGUCAGCAGGGAAGAACGGUCACUGUGCUAAUCAGCAGUGAAUUGACGGUACCUGCAAAGGAAGCACCGGCUAACUCCGUGCCAGCAGCCGCGGUAAUACGGAGGGUGCGAGCGUUAAUCGGAAUUACUGGGCGUAAAGCGCUCGUAGGCGGUAUGUCAAGUCAAGGGUGAAAUCCCCGCGCUCAACGUGGGAACUGCCUUUGAAACUGGCAAACUGGAGUGUGUGAGAGGAUAGUGGAAUUCCAGGUGUAGGAGUGAAAUGCGUAGAUAUCUGGAGGAACAUCAGUGGCGAAGGCGACUAUCUGGCACAUAACUGACGCUGAGGAGCGAAAGCGUGGGUAGCAAACAGGAUUAGAUACCCCAGUAGUU